rnacentral:rRNA from 1 species
UGAGUACAAGAUGCUACGGCAUUGAAGCAGUCUAUGUCAUACUUCCAAGAAAAGCUUGCAAUGUCAUAAACAAAUAAUGCCUGUACCAUAACCGACACAGGUGGGUAGGUAGAGUAUACUAAGGGGCGCGAGAUAACUCUCUCUAAGGAACUCGGCAAAAUGACUCCGUAACUUCGGGAGAAGGAGUACCUUAUUUUAUAAGGUUGCAAUAACAAGGUCCAAGCAACUGUUUACCAAAAACACAGGUCUCCGCUAAGUCGUAAGACGAUGUAUGGGGGCUGACGCCUGCCCAGUGCCAGAAGGUUAAAGAAGUUGGUUAGCAUUAGCGAAGCUGAUAACUGAAGCCCUGGUGAACGGCGGCCGUAACAAUAACGGUCCUAAGGUAUCGAAAUUCCUUGUCGGGUAAGUUCCGACCCGCACGAAAGGCGUAAUGAUUUGGAUACUGUCUCGGAGAGGGGCUCGGUGAAAUAGACUUGUCUGUGAAGAUGCGGACUACCUGCACCUGGACAGAAAGACCCUAUGAAGCUUUACUGUAACUUGAGAUUGAAAUUGGACUUUAUUUGCGCAGUAUAGGUGGGAGACCUCGAAAGUAUUCUUGCGGGAAUAUUGGAGUCAUCAGUGAGAUACCACUCUUAUAAUGUUAGAUUUCUAACUUUGUAUCAUUAUCUGGUCAAAGAACAGUUUCAGGCGGGCAGUUUGCCUGGGGCGGUCGCCUCCCAAAUGGUAACGGAGGCGCACAAAGGUUUCCUCUGAACGUGUAGAAAUCGUAUCUAGAGUGUAAAGGCAUAAGGAAGCUUGACUGUGAGACCUACAAGUCGAGCAGGGACGAAAGUCGGUCUUAGUGAUCUGACGGUGCUGAGUGGAAAGGCCGUCACUCAACGGAUAAAAGUUACUCUAAGGAUAACAGGCUGAUCCCCCCCAAGAGUUCACAUCGACGGGGAGGUUUGGCACCUCGAUGUCGGCUCAUCGCAUCCUGGGGCGGUAGUACGUCCCAAGGGUUGGGCUGUUCGCCCAUGAAAGCGGUACGCGAGCUGGGUUCAGAACGUCGUGAGACAGUUCGGUCCAUAUCCGGUGUAGGCGUUAGAAUAUUGAGAGGAGCCUUCUUUAGUACGAGAGGACCGAGAAGGACAUACCUCUGGUGUACCAGUUAUCGUGCCAACGGUAAACGCUGGGUAGCUAUGUAUGGAGAGGAUAACCGCUGAAAGCAUCUAAGUGGGAAGCCCACCUCAAGAUAAGUAUUCUC